ACCCACUAGCUGCAGAGGAUUUGACAACAACAGGCAGAACUGGCUCCUGAGACCUAACCCAGGAAUGGCCCUCACUGGACCAACUGCCAGGGCUCCAGUCUGCUCGCUGCUGGUUCUCUUGUAUCUUCGUACAGUCACAGGAAUGUCAGGCUGGGGUGGAUGUUUGGACGGCCAGAAUGUAUCUGCAGCAAUCAAAGAAAACACAGUUUGGGGAGAGAUUGUUGCUGAGUUAA